rnacentral:rRNA from 1 species
GACGAACCGUGCGAACGUUAUUCGGAAUCACUGGGCUUAAAGCGCGUGUAGGCGGCCCGGCACGUCCGUCGCUGAAAUCCCCCGGCUCAACCGGGGAAGGGGCGUGGAUACGGCCGGGCUGGAGGGGGGUAGGGGAGCCGGAACUUCCGGUGGAGCGGUGAAAUGCGUUGAGAUCGGAAGGAACGCCCGUGGCGAAAGCGGGCUCCUGGACCCCACCUGACGCUGAGACGCGAAAGCCAGGGAGCGAACGGG